AGAGGAUAGGGGCUGUAGUGGGUGCAGGGUGUACAGGGGUCUAGGGCUGCCUGGAGUAGGGGCUGUAGUGGGUGCAGGGAGAUAAGGGCUCUAGGGCUGCCUGGGUAGGGGCUGUAGUGGGUGCAGAGGAUAGGGGCUGUAGUGGGUGCAGGGUGUACAGGGGUCUAGGGCUGCCUGGAGUAGGGGCUGUAGUGGGUGCAGGGAGAUAAGGGCUCUAGGGCUGCCUGGGUAGGGGCUGU